AUUUAAGUUAAGUCAAUUAGGAUCGAUAUACCUUGUAUAUCCACAAGGUGGCAGUAAUGCAAAAACAGUUGUAAUGAAACCGCGAAGAACAAGAAGGUUUCACGGCUUGGGCCUGCUCAUGCGCAAGACUUCAAAUUUAACUUAAAAACGUUGUUUUGGCGCCAAGCUGCUGUUUCUUUGAGAGGUAAGACCAUUUUUUUUCUUUGACUAUGUUGUGUAGUAUCUAUAUGUCGAGCAUGGUUAUAUUUUGCGUUUGUCUUACAAGACAUGUUAUAUUGUUUGCGUGCGCUUGUUCUACAUUAGUUUUACUGGGUCCUGGACAUGCUUAUUUUGUGGACUGUGUAAGAAACAUUUUUAUUGUUUUUUGUUUUAUUGAGGGAUAAGCUACAGGGGUUCAUGGGGUUAUUUUUCCAUUUGCUUUCUUGGGAUUCCUUUACUGUAAUCCGAGAGUCGGAAAUAUCGAAUAGGAUAGCAAGGAUAGCAUAAAGUGACAUUUAAAAUCCAUAAAGUCAAGGGCGAAAGCCACUGUGACACCAUUGUUAUGCUCUAUCAGUAAUCGAUAUUAUGUAAAAAUCGUCUGUAAAUACAGCAUGUUUCCUAGCGGAGUUAUACAUAUCAAAAGAGUUAUAAAUUACAGUUUGUUAAAUCACACACUUAAUUUUUUAAAUAAAAUUAUUCAAGACAUAUGAGUGGACAGACAAUGGAGGUCGACAGACCUGGUGAUAAUUGCUUCUAUAGAAAGUUUGCACAUGGCAGUGUCAAUCUCUUGCUUUUCUUCUGAGUAGUAUUUUAUUUAGUUGUAAUUCAAACAAUAAUUUGCUUCUUGAAAUUAAGUAAUGAAUUUCUUGUUUUACUUUAUAAAUUUCAGAUCCAGGCCUCCCUCCUAUACUGAUGUGGUGUAUGUGGUACUGCUGAGCUUGUAUGUGGUGGAAGCAGAAUAUGUGAGGGUUACUACUGCUGCACUUGUUCCAAGGCUUUUUACACGACGUGACCAAUACACUGACCAGCUCAUAAAAGUCAUCAAGAAAAAAGGAGGCGCUGCAGUGAAGAAAAUUAGACAAACUUUGGCCCCUGCCACACAGAAGGAAACUAUUGAAAAGGGGAGGGAGUGUGUCCUCAGGGCACUACCUUUUGACCUGAAUGAAGACCCAAGCAUCCUCUUCAAAGAAUAAUUGCUACAGCUGUUCAGAGGGAGCUGGAACAAAUUACCCUUGCUAUCUUUACCAUCGAAAGAGCUGAUGCCAGCACUCCUCCAGCCGAGGUGGGUAUAACCACAGUGUGUGUCCUGCAUGACCUGGAAGACCUGGCCUCUGCAUGUGCACUCUUAAUGGGUGGGAUAUAUGCACUGAAUCUCAGUUAACCUCGAGACUGACAGCUUUCUUUGAAGUACUUCAGAAGCUCUUCCUUCAUCUGUAUGUCAGCAGACUCUUGACCAAGGUACAGUUGCUCAAGAAUACACUGAAUGAAUAAGCCAACCCUUAAUUUGGAUGAUGAAUGUUCUGUCAGAUGGACAGAAGUUUUUCGGAGGCUGAAUGGGAAUAAAAUGGUAAUUUGUAAAUGACAGAUAAAGGGAAAAUUACAUUUAAGAGAAAUUUAAAACAUUUUGAAAAGUUUGUAAACUACUACAAUUUGAGAGAUUUUACUCUUGUGGGGGGCUAGUAAGAGACCAUCAAAAGUAUUGAGAUUUAAAGGAUUUAAUUGAGAGAUGAUACUGCACCA
ensembl:lncRNA